rnacentral:rRNA from 1 species
UCCAGCAGCCAUAUCACUCUGCAACUCACAACUGGCAACCCACUGAAGCUCAGCAGCUGUGAGCCGGGUCAGUACCUGGAUGGGAGACCUCCUGGGAAAAACUAAGGUUGCUGCUGGAA